UACGAAGGGGGCUAGCGUUGUUCGGAAUUACUGGGCGUAAAGCGUAUGCAGGCGGACUUUCAAGUCAGAGGUGAAAGCCCGGGGCUCAACUCCGGAACUGCCUUUGAAACUAGAUUGCUAGAAUCUUGGAGAGGCGAGUGGAAUUCCGAGUGUAGAGGUGAAAUUCGUAGAUAUUCGGAAGAACACCAGUGGCGAAGGCGACUCGCUGGACAAGUAUUGACGCUGAGGUGCGAAAGCGUGGGGAGCAAACAGG
rnacentral:rRNA from 1 species